UACAGAGGGUGCAAGCGUUAAUCGGAAUUACUGGGCGUAAAGCGUGCGUAGGUGGUUUGUUAAGUUGGAUGUGAAAUCCCCGGGCUCAACCUGGGAAUUGCAUUCAAAACUGACUGACUAGAGUAUGGUAGAGGGUGGUGGAAUUUCCUGUGUAGCGGUGAAAUGCGUAGAUAUAGGAAGGAACACCAGUGGCGAAGGCGACCACCUGGACUAAUACUGACACUGAGGUGCGAAAGCGUGGGGAGCAAACAGG
rnacentral:rRNA from 1 species